rnacentral:rRNA from 2 species
UUUGUGGAGAGUUUGAUCCUGGCUCAGGAUGAACGCUGGCGGCGUGCUUAACACAUGCAAGUCGAACGGAAAGGC